rnacentral:rRNA from 1 species
UUGCUAUUUGAUAUUUCUAGCGGCGGACGGGUGAGUAACGCGUGAGCAACCUGCCUUUAUCAGGGGGAUAACGCAUCGAAAGAUGUGCUAAUACCGCGUAAGACCACAGCCCCACAUGGGGGCAGGGGGUCAAAGGAGCAAUCCGGAGAAAGAUGGGCUCGCGUCCGAUUAGCUAGUUGGUGAGAUAACAGCCCACCAAGGCGACGAUCGGUAGCCGACCUGAGAGGGUGAUCGGCCACAUUGGAACUGAGAGACGGUCCAGACUCC